CCUACGGGAGGCAGCAGUGAGGAAUAUUGGUCAAUGGACGAGAGUCUGAACCAGCCAAGUAGCGUGAAGGAUGACUGCCCUAUGGGUUGUAAACUUCUUUUAUAUGGGAAUAAAACAGGGUAUGCAUACCCUCUUGUAUGUACCAUAUGAAUAAGGAUCGGCUAACGCCGUGCCAGCAGCCGCGGUAAUACGGAGGAUCCGAGCGUUAUCCGGAUUUAUUGGGUUUAAAGGGAGCGUAGGUGGAUUGUUAAGUCAGUUGUGAAAGUUUGCGGCUCAACCGUAAAAUUGCAGUUGAAACUGGCAGUCUUGAGUACAGUAGAGGUGGGCGGAAUUCGUGGUGUAGCGGUGAAAGGCUUAGAUAUCACGAAGAACUCCGAUUGCGAAGGCAGCUCACUGGACUGCAACUGACACUGAUGCUCGAAAGUGUGGGUAUCAAACAGGAUUAGAUACCCGAGUAGUC
rnacentral:rRNA from 1 species